rnacentral:rRNA from 1 species
GAUGAACGCUAGCGGCAGGCUUAACACAUGCAAGUCGAGGGGCAGCAUUGUAGUAGUAAUACUUCAGAUGGCGACCGGCGUACGGGUGCGUAACGCGUAUGCAACCUACCCUUGAUUGCCGAAUAACCCGGAGAAAUUCGGACUAAUACGCCGUAUUUACAGCAGAGGCAUCGUUGUUGUAAGAAAGAUUUAUCGUCCAAGGAUGGGCAUGCGUGACAUUAGGUAGUUGGUAGGGUAACGGCUUACCAAGCCUAUGAUGUCUAGGGGAACUUAGAGGUUUAUCCCCCACACUGGUACUGAGAAACGGACCAGACUCCUACGGGAGGCAGCAGUGAGGAAUAUUGGUCAAUGGACGAGAGUCUGAACCAGCCAUGCCGCGUGCAGGAUGACUGCUCUAUGAGUUGUAAACUGCUUUUAUACGGGAGUAAAUUCAGCUACGUGUAGUUGAUUGAAAGUACCGUAAGAAUAAGGAUCGGCUAACUCCGUGCCAGCAGCCGCCGUAAUAC